UCUCGAUAGCGUAAAAGUUAAGUCAAAUUUGUAUGGAGUCGGAACGUUUGCCUACGUUUGCCGCUAGGGGCGCUGUUCCAACUGCAUAGUGCAUACAAUUUUCAGGUAACGUUUACGCUAUCGA
rnacentral:pre_miRNA from 9 species